rnacentral:sRNA from 1 species
UAGUCUCCAUCUCAUAACCAAUGAUCUC